rnacentral:rRNA from 1 species
UGUAAGCGUAUACCAAAGUUGUUGCAGUUAAAAAGCUCGUAGUUGGAUUUCUGGUAGGAGUGACCGUUCCGAACUUGAUUGUUCGUGUAUUGUGUUUUCUCCAGCCAUCCUUGUGGAGAACUUUUCUUGCAUUAAUUUGUAGGGAUUGGGACCCGCAUCGUUUACUGUGAAAAAAUUAGAGUGUUUAAAGCAGGCAAUCGCUUGAAUACAUUAGCAUGGAAUAAUAAGAUAGGACUUUGGUACUAUUUUGUUGGUUUGCAUACCAAAUUAAUGAUCAACAGGAACAGUUUGAGGAUAUUCGUAUGAACAUGUCAGAGGUGAAAUUCUUGGAUUUUGAUCAGACGAACUACUGCGAAAGCAUUUAUCAAGGAUGUUUUCAUUAA